rnacentral:rRNA from 1 species
AUGGAGGUCACCGACGAGAUGCUCAAGACCAUGGAGGUCGGCUUGGCCUUCCGGGACUAUAUUGGCAGAAUUAGUUCUAUGGAUUUCCACAGCAAGGCUACAAACUAUCUGGUGACAGCCAGUGAUGAUGAAUCGAUACGCCUAUAUGACAUUCAAAAUGCUGUAUGUUUGAAGACCAUUAAUAGCAAAAAGUAUGGGGUUGAACUGGUGUGCUUCACUACUAACCCAACUCUUGUCUUGUAUUCCUCGAAAAAUGGUUGGGAUGAAUCUCUGCGUCUACUCUCUCUAAAUGAUAACCGGUUUGUAAGAUAUUUCAAAGGCCAUCUUGACAGGGUUGUUGCUAUGUCAUUAUGUUAUGAGAAAGACAGUUUUCUAUCUGGUUCACUUGAUCGAACUGUUCUCCUAUGGGAUCUGAGGGCUGACAAAGCACAGGGCUUGCUGCGUGUGCAAGGGAGGCCCGCAGUUUCAUAUGAUGAUCAGGGUUUAGUUUUCGCAGUUGCUUAUGGUGGUUAUGUAAGGAUGUUUGAUGCUCGAAAAUUUGAGAAGGGGCCUUUUGAUAUUUUCUCCGUUGGUAAUGACGAAUCAGAAGCCAAUAUGAUAAAGUUCAGCAGUGAUGGAAGGCGGCUUCUUUUAACCACCAAAGCAGGGUGUAUUCAUGUGCUAGAUUCAUUUCAUGGCAACAGUCUAGCAACUUUCAAUGUUAAGCCAGUUGUAACCAAUUCGACAUUGGAGGCAUCAUUCCCUGAUGGAAACCAUAUUAUAUCUGGCUCUGGUGAUGGUAGUGUUUAUGCUUGGAGCGUUAGAAGUGGAAAGAAGGUUGCGCGGUGGGGGAGCACAGAUAGCGAGCCACCAUUGGUUAGGUGGGCUCCAGGAUCGUUGAUGUUCUUGACUGGAUCUUCAGAACUAUCCUGCUGGGUCCCGGACCUAUCGAAGCUGGGAUCGUUUGCCGUUACCAAGUAA